UAACAAGGAUUCCCCUAGUAACUGCGAGUGAAGCGGGAAAAGCUCAAAUUUAAAAUCUGGCGGUCUUUGGCCGUCCGAGUUGUAGUCUGGAGAAGUGCUUUCCGCGCUGGACCGUGUACAAGUCUCUUGGAACAGAGCGUCAUAGAGGGUGAGAAUCCCGUCUUUGACACGGACUACCAGUGCUUUGUGAUGCGCUCUCAAAGAGUCGAGUUGUUUGGGAAUGCAGCUCAAAAUGGGUGGUGAAUUCCAUCUAAAGCUAAAUAUUGGCGAGAGACCGAUAGCGAACAAGUACCGUGAGGGAAAGAUGAAAAGCACUUUGGAAAGAGAGUUAAACAGUACGUGAAAUUGCUGAAAGGGAAACGCUUGAAGUCAGUCGCGUUGUUCGGAACUCAGCCUUGCUUUU
rnacentral:rRNA from 1 species